rnacentral:sRNA from 1 species
GAGAUGAAGAGGAUAGAGAACAAGAUUAAUAGA